CUCACUUUGAACCAUCCAGCCCAAGGCAACAAUCCAUUCUGUGAACUCCAAAAUCGAAUGGACAUAAGUCGAAGCCUCCCGAGCUCUUUAAGAACUUCCAACCUGGACUCAAGACAAUGUGCGACGAGCAAUACUGCACAUCCAGAGCGCUGCGUGGAGGGUGCUGUGCGCCUACCGAAGAAACGCUUUCGUCAAGACCUUUCAGCUCAGUCAUUGUCACCUACAAGUCCGACUGGGCUGUCACAACCUGUACCCCA